ensembl:lncRNA
GGCGAGGGCUGGUCAUGCUCCGCCGGAAGGCGCCUUGUUCUCCGAGAGGGUGAGUUGAAAUGCUGGCUGGGAAGGAAGCACAGGACUUGUUCAGGAAGAAUAGACAGUGGAACAACGCCUCAGACAGAGCCGUGGGAGCUGCAGUAUCAGCGUCUGCUGCAUCUUACCAUCGCAUCAACAUCACAGAUCACUGAUCUGCAUAUUCUGAAUUUGUCAACUCAGAGAUUCUCUGACCUGGUUUAUGCCUUGGAAGAGUUAAACUAUCUUCUGAGCUUACAUUGAGCCUAAUGCCUGGGAGAAAAGUUGAAGACAAACAUUUCUCUUGGACUCCACCCUCACCCCUAGAAGUCACUGGACUUCUGUCCUUACAUUUGAGCAAGUUCUCGACCAGGAAGAUCUUUGUGUGACCUAUCCUUCCUCUACUGUGAC